rnacentral:lncRNA from 1 species
AAGGUGGGUUGUGCUUACCGAAGUGAUUAGGUCACUUCCAUGCCAAAGUAGAUCAUGUUUUCAUUUGACGCAUAUAUGAGGAUAAAUGUCGACAUAUGAACAUUCAUGCUAAAUGAAUAUGAAUAUGAGUAUGAAUAUGAAUAUGAAUAUGAAUAUGAAUAUGAAUACUAUAUGGAUGCUGGAUGCAUAGAUCUGAAUGCAUAGAUACGAAUAUGAAUGCUAAAUGCGUGUGAAUAUGAAUGUAAAUGCUAUGUGAAUGCUAUACGAAUGCUAUAUGAAUGCUAAUGCUAAAUUCAUAUGAUCAAAGAUAAGUUAUGCUAAUGCUACGUUCAUGUGAUAUAUAAUUGUUGAACCUGUAAAUGCCAAGGGCAUCUAAGUUAAAUAUGAAAUGUGAAUAUAUAUAUGCUAAAGCCUACAUACUAUAUGAAUGUCACUAUAUGCUAAAUGCUAAAGCCUAUAUAGAUGCCAAGGACAUAUAAGUUGAAUGUGAAAUGUGAAUAUAGAUGCUAUAUGAACGUCGCUAAUUCUAGUUGAUUCGAAUGGUAUGUAAACUAUGAACUUCAUGUGAAAUCCCUAAGAAUCGGGUAUAAAUCGACAACUCCAAUUGAGUAGAAAUCUGGACACUGGACAGUAACAAAGUAAAUGAAAUUGUGCAAAUUAUGAUCCUAGAUAUGAAUAACUAGGAUAAUGAAUAGAUCGAAUGGCAUGAAAUAAACCUAGUGUUAUUGAACAUAGGUAGGACAUAAACCUAGUGUCAUUGGACCUAGGUCGAGUGUGUAAACCUAGAGUUGAGAUCUAGGAGAAAGUAUAUAAAACCUAGUGUAAGUGAACCUAGGUUAUGAUGUAAAGAACCACUUAGUAAAAGUAAACUAAGUUGUGAAUCAUAGUGGCAGUAGGACCACUAGAAAGUGAAUAGAAUAGACCUAGAAAGGUCGUCGACAUAGGGUAAAAGAGUAAACCCUUUAGUUGUGAAAAUGGAUUCCGGAAUCCCUAGGAAUGGUGUGAUGGCAGAAAUAGAAUCUUAACUACGGGAUUGACGGUUCUCCUCUCCCGGUAGUGAUUCAACGGGAUCGACGGUUCUCCUCUCCCGGUAUGCCAUGAAACAAGUGAAGUGAAUCGAAACUACGGGAUUGACGGUUCUCCUCUCCCGGUAGUGAUUCAACGGGAUUGACGGUUCUCCUCUCCCGGUUGAGCUAACGGGUUUGACGGUUCUCCUCGCCCGUUGAGCUUGAGCGACUUAGGGUCACGGGGAUCGACGGUUCUCCUCUCCCUGUGAUGGACCUAGUGUCGCGUGGACUUAAGGCUGAGGUGUUGUGAGACGUCCUUCACCUCGAGCCUGACUUGACGCGGUACUCCGCGGUUGAUUGACUCAAGACCGAGUCGAGUGGCUAGAUGGCUAAGGUAAAGUAACCUUAGGAAAGAAUCGCCAGUGAGUACAGUAAGAAUAAAGAAUAAAGCAUAAAGAAAAGAAUAAAGAAAAUAGCUAAUGAAUGAAACUAGCUAAGAAAGAAUAAAACGGCUACAAGUAAAGAAUGGCUAAUGAUAUAAAGUAGAAUCAAGUAAUCUACUUACAUGAUUUACAGGUAUUGCAUAGUGCAUAGCAGCGAGGCAAGGUAUGGUUCUAUUUGUUGCAUCGUUAAAUAUCUAUCUAUCUAUUUGUUGAACUAACCUACUGUUGCCUCCUUUGGACCUGGUGGGUCGAGCUCUUCUCUUGGGUGGCCGUACCCACUGGGAACUAUAUUUAUAUAGUUCUCACCCCCG